rnacentral:rRNA from 1 species
CUGCGAAUGGCUCAUUAUAUCAGUUAUAGUUUAUUUGAUGAAGAAUACUAAUUGGAUAACCGUAGUAAUUCUAGAGCUAAUACAUGUAUAAAGUCUUGUAGACUGCAUUUAUUAGAAUGAAAACCAUAGGUUUCGGCCUAUUCGUGAGUAAUAAUAACUAAUCAUAUCGUAUGCUUAAGUAACGAUGUGUCUUUCAAGUUUCUGCCCUAUCAGCUUUCGAUGGUAGUGUAUUGGACUACCAUG